UACGUAGGCAGCAAGCGUUGUUCGGAAUUACUGGGCGUAAAGAGUGUGUAGGCGGUGCUCUAAGUUCGGUGUGAAAUCUCCCGGCUUAACUGGGAGGGUGCGCCGGAAACUGGAGUGCUCGAGCGUGGGAGAGGAAAGCGGAAUUCCUGGUGUAGCAGUGAAAUGCGUAGAGAUCAUGAGGAAGACCAGUGGCGAAGGCGGGUCUCUGGACAGUUCCUGACGCUGAGGCACGAAGGUCAGGGGAGCAAACGGG
rnacentral:rRNA from 1 species